rnacentral:lncRNA from 1 species
CCUACAUACAGAAAAUCCUAAAUAACCUUCAAAAAGUCUAUCAGAGCUAAUAAACCUGCAAAGUGAGUAAGAAGAGUGCUUUUUAAGUAUGUGUGAAUUUUGAGUGAAUGUGGCGUAAGAUGAAAACGACGACUCUCACCUUUCUAAACUCUAUGUGUUGGUGACUGUGCUAAAUUUAAUCCUACAUCUCCAUCAUGAAGUAGAUAUUAGUGUCCCAAAUUUUGGGCUUCACAGGUGGCACUAGUGGUAAAGAAUCCACCUGUUAAUGCAGGAGACAUAAGAGACAUGGUUUGAUCUCUGGGUCAGGAAGAUCCCCUGGAGGAGGGCAUGGCAACUCACUCCAGUAUUCUUGCCUGAAGAAUCUCUAUGGACAGAAGAGUCUGGUGGGCUACAGUCCAUAGGGUUGCAAAGAGUCAGAUAUGACUGAAGCAACUUAGCACACACACAUUCCCAUUUCACCUUUAAAAACCAGGCUGCAACUCAACUGAUGGUAACUCUUCAAAGCUUGUCUUACCUAUUAUGUUUAUUAUGUUAUAUGGUCUUGAGAUGUCCUUUCUGUGAAUGAAUUAAAGUUCUAGUUAUAAAAUUCAUGAAAUGUUUGAAUAAAUUUCGCAAAAAGCCAACACCCUGUCCUAAACUCUAUUCCUCUUGAAAUGAAAACUGAGACAAAUAGAAACAAAUUACAGAGCUAACUUUUUAGAUAUACAAAAACUGGUUUCAGAAAACAAUGCUUUUUUUUUUUAAUGAAAUCUUGAAGCAUAGCAAAGUUAAUAAAAAAUGGACUUGACUCUCUUGGUACAUUCAGAGUUUAAAAUUCACAGAGUUGCUCCUGUUUUUACACAGAAUCUGGAGAUGUUAAAUUUUUUGUUUUGGCUUCUAGAUGUCCUUUAUGUGUACCCUGUGGAAUCCAGUUCAUCUCCAAUCUGUCAGAUAGCAUCAGAAGUGGUUUUGAGUCCUUAUGUCCUGAGCCUGUGAACAAAAUGUACCUUGUGUGGAGGAAAAUGAGAUCCCGAGUGAAGUCUACAAUGUCAUUGACUCUGAAGAAGGACUCAGAGACCCAUUGGUGUUUAAUGACCCUUACUGGCCUAUGCAAUGGGAACUGGUUACUAAAUACCAAGCUCCUCUAUACUGAGGUCAAGGAUUUCAGGAGACACAGGAUGAAAAGUAGACAGAAGGUAAGUGAUAUAGGAAAAAAACAGAACUGAGUAUCAGUCAAUAAAGUGACUGAUUAGAAAUGGGGACUAGUCUUAAAGACUUAAACAAUUGAGUCACCUUGAAAUCAGAUGAAAUUGAGCAAGUAAAGGAUUGAGCAGAGCUAGAAGGAUAACUGUACCAUUUUCUAGGGAAGAAGUUGAUAGAUUCUCACUGCAAAUGACCAGGUAGUAAAUAUUUUCAGGUUUGUGGACCAUAUAAAUCUCUGUAGCAUAUUUUUGAUAUUGUCAUUCCAGUCCUUUAAAAUUGUAAAAAUCUUUCUCAGUUUUAGUCAUAGAACAGGCUGUAAGUUGGAUUUAACUUGCAGGCCAUAGUUUAUUGACAUCUGUAUAAAGUAAAGGAAAAAAGAGUUAAAGAGUAAAUAGCUGUUCAGAUUUAGCCAUAUUGCUCUUUUUUUCCAUUGACAUAUAGUUGAUUUUCAAUGUUGUGUUAUUUUCUGCUGUGCAGCAAAGUAUCAGAUAUAUAUACACAUAUAUAUAUUCUUUUUCAUAUUCUUUUACAUUUUGGUUUAUCACAGGAUAUUGAAUAUAGUUGCCUGUACCACACAGUAAGACCUUGUUGUUUAUCUAUUCUCUGUUACGAUUGUUUGCAGAGUUAGUUAUCUCUUUUAACACCCAGUUGCUGUGGUGUCUGUGUAUACAUUACAGCAGCAAACUCAGCAAUGAAAAGUCAAGCAGGCUAUACUGAUGUCAACGGCCUAGAUUAUUAUUACAUUCUGGUAGUAAUGACAACCCACUCCAAUAUUCUUGUUUGGAAAGUCCCAUGGACAGAGGAGCCUGAUGGGCUACAGCCUAUGAGGUCACAAAGAGUUGGACACAACUGAGUGAACAACAGCAAGCACCAUUCUAGAGGCAUGUCUUUCCAGUAUUGGAGAAGAUGGUUCCUAAUGUCAAGGUGAGUCACAGUACAAAAUUGAAAGGGAAGAACUGCAGUUUCCAGUUGAAGUUCUGAUGUUAUUCAUAACAGCAGAGCUAAAUUGUGUUACAAAUUCCAUCCACUGAUGAGGACACCAAACUUAUUUUGCUGGAAGAUUGAAUGGUGUAGGUGUGCUUUCUUCAGAACCAAGCAUCCUAAAAUAGGAGCCUAUUCUUUAUUUUUGUGCCCAUCUACUCCUCAGCCAACAAUUUGUAGCAAUCUGGUUUUGUGAUGCCCUCCCAUUUGCCCUUGUGAUCUUACCCCAUCUUCAGGCCUUCCACUUAACUUCCC